rnacentral:rRNA from 1 species
UAAGGAAUAUUGGUCAAUGGACGCAAGUCUGAACCAGCCAUGCCGCGUGAAGGAUGAAGGUCCUCUGGAUUGUAAACUUCUUUUAUCUGGGACGAAAACGGGAUUUUUAUCUCAAUUGACGGUACCAGAGGAAUAAGCACCGGCUAACUCCGUGCCAGCAGCCGCGGUAAUACGGAGGGUGCGAGCGUUAUCCGGAUUUACUGGGUUUAAAGGGUGCGUAGGUGGGCUUAUAAGUCAGUGGUGAAAUCUCCGAGCUUAAUUUGGAAACUGCCGUUGAUACUAUAGGUCUUGAAUUAUCUGGAGGUAAGCGGAAUAUGUCAUGUAGCGGUGAAAUGCUUAGAUAUGACAUAGAACACCAAUUGCGAAGGCAGCUUACUACAUAUAAAUUGACGCUGAGGCACGAAAGCGUGGGGAUCAAACA